AUUGAACGCUGGCGGCAGGCCUAACACAUGCAAGUCGAGCGGAGCGGCGGACGGUUGAGUAAUGUCUGGGAAACUGCCUGAUGGAGGGGGAUAACUACUGGAAACGGUAGCUAAUACCGCAUAACAUCAGAUUAGCCUAGGUCGUAGUAGCUAGUUGGUGGGGUAAAGGCCUACCAGGGCGACGAACCGUACCUGGUCUGAGAGGAUGAUCAGUCACACUGGAACUGAGACACGGUCCAGACUCCUACGGGAGGCAGCAGUGGGGAAUAUUGGACAAUGGACGAAAGCCUGAUCCAGCCAUGCCGCGUGUGUGAAGAAGGUCUUCGGAUUGUAAAGCACUUUAAGUUGGGAAGCGUUACCAACAGAAUAAGCACCGGCUAACUUCGUGCCAGCAGCCGCGGUAAUAC
rnacentral:rRNA from 1 species